UGUAAACCUAACCGCCAUAACCUCAACGAUUGAAAACCUUGCCGAUUCGACUCGAGUACUGUGAAAUUUAAGGCCGAGCUAAACCUUAACCAUCACAGACGCAACCAUCGGAAAACUUGCUGGCUCAACUCGAGCACUGUUAAAUUUAAGGCUGAAUUAACCCACACCCUAACCUUAGCCAUCACAGAUGCAGCUAUCGGAAAACUUGCUGGCUCAACUCAAGUACUGCUAAUUUUAAGGCUGAAUUAUAACACACCUUAAACUUAACCAUCACAGACCCAGUGAUUGCAGUCUAACGAUGACACUUACCGUCUUUGGGACAAGGCAGUCUGGCUGAAACAGGACUUCAUGGCGGAACGCGAUGCUGGGUCGGGAUCGUCGGACUCUGAAUUUUGAGCUGUGGUCUGACCCAGUGAUUGCAGUCUAACGAUGACACUUACCGUCUUUGGGACAAGGCAGUCUGGCUGAAACAGGACUUCAUGGCGGAACGCGAUGCUGGGUCGGGAUCGUCGGACUCUGAAUUUUGAGCUGUGGUCUGGUGAGUACUGCUAAAUUUAAGGCUGAACCAAAUCACACCCUAAACUUAACCGUCACAGACCCAGCGGUUUAAAAACCUAGCCGGUUUAAUUCUAACACAGCUAAAUUUAAGGCUGAACUAAAGCACACCCUAAACUUAACAGUCACAGACCCAGCGGUUUAAAAACCUAGCCGGUUUAAUUCUAAUACAGCUAAAUUUAAGGCUGAACUAAAACACACCCUAAACUUAACCAUCAUAGACCCAGUGAUUAUAGUCUAACGAUGACACUUACCGUCUUUGGGACAUGGCAGUCUGGCUGAAACAGGACUUCAUGGCGGAAAGCGAUGCGGGGUCCGGAUCGUCGGACUCUGAAUUUCGAGCUGUGGUCUGGUGAGUACCGCUUCAUUUAAGGCUGAACCAAACCACACCCUAAACUUAACCGUCACAGACCCAGCGGUUUAAAAACCUAGCCGGUUUAAUUCUAACACAGCUAAAUUUAAGGCUGAACUAAAACACACCCUAAACUUAACCAUCAUAGACCCAGUGAUUAUAGUCUAACGAUGACACUUACCGUCCUUGGGGACAAGGCAGUCUGGCUGAAACAGGACUUCAUGGCGGAACGCGAUGCUGGGUCGCGAUCGUCGGACUCUGAAUUCCGAGCUGUGGUCUGGUGAGUACCGCUAAAUUUAUGGCUGAACCAAACCACACUCUAACUUAAUCGUCACAGACCCAGCGGUUUAAAAACCUAGCCGGUUGAACUCAAAACACUGCUAAAUUUAAGGCUUAACUAAACCACACACUGUAUCUAGCCAUCACUGACCCAGCGUUUUAAAAAAAUAAAAAAAAAAUAAAAAAAUAAAAAAAAAAAUAAAAAAAAAUUAAAAAAAAAAAAAAAAAAAAAAAAAAAAAAAAA